GGCCUAUCAGCUUGUUGGUGGGGUGAUGGCCUACCAAGGCGACGACGGGUAGCCGGCCUGAGAGGGUGAUCGGCCACAUUGGGACUGAGAUACGGCCCAGACUCCUACGGGAGGCAGCAGUGGGGAAUAUUGCACAAUGGGCGGAAGCCUGAUGCAGCGACGCCGCGUGAGGGAUGACGGCCUUCGGGUUGUAAACCUCUUUCAGCAGGGACGAAGCGUAAGUGACGGUACCUGCAGAAGAAGCACCGGCUAACUAUGUGCCAGCAGCCGCGGUAAUACGUAGGGUCCGAGCGUUGUCCGGAAUUACUGGGCGUAAAGAGCUCGUAGGUGGUUUGUCGCGUUGUUCGUGAAAACUCACAGCUUAACUGUGGGCGUGCGGGCGAUACGGGCAGACUAGAGUACUGCAGGGGAGACUGGAAUUCCUGGUGUAGCGGUGAAAUGCGCAGAUAUCAGGAGGAACACCGGUGGCGAAGGCGGAUCUCUGGGCCAUUACUGACGCUGAGGAGCGAAAGCGUGGGGAGCGAACAGGAUUAGAUACCCUGGUAGUCCACGCCGUAAACGGUGGGAACUAGGUGUUGGCGACAUUCCACGUCGUCGGCGCCGCAGCUAACGCAUUAAGUUCCCCGCCUGGGGAGUACGG
rnacentral:rRNA from 1 species